UACGGAGGGUGCUAGCGUUGUUCGGAAUUACUGGGCGUAAAGGGCGCGUAGGCGGCCGUUUGCGUCGGAUGUGAAAGCCCGGGGCUCAACCUCGGAACGGCAUUCGAUACGGGACGGCUGGAGACCGGGAGAGGAGAGUGGAAUAGCCAGUGUAGAGGUGAAAUUCGUAGAUAUUGGCUGGAACACCGGUGGCGAAAGCGGCUCUCUGGCCCGGUUCUGACGCUGAGGCGCGAAAGUGUGGGGAGCAAACAGG
rnacentral:rRNA from 1 species